ACUCAAAGGAAUAGACGGGGACCCGCACAAGCAGCGGAGCGUGUGGUUUAAUUCGAUGCAACGCGAAGAACCUUACCAGGACUUGACAUGCAACUGCACCGCCCGUAAUGGGGCGUCCGAGCAAUCGGCGAUUGCACAGGUGCUGCAUGGCUGUCGUCAGCUCGUGUCGUGAGAUGUUGGGUUCAGUCCCGCAACGAGCGCAACCCCUGCCGCUAGUUAAGCUUUCUAGCGGGACCGCCGCGAUCAACGCGGAGGAAGGCGGGGAUGACGUCAAGUCAGCACGGCCCUUACGUCCUGGGCGACACACACGCUACAAUGGUCGGAACAACGGGCAGCCAACCCGCGAGGGGGAGCCAAUCCCAGCAAAACCGGCCUCAGUUCAGAUUGCAGGCUGCAACCCGCCUGCAUGAAGGAGGAGUUGCUAGUAACCGUGGGUCAGCACACUACGGUGAAUACGUUCCCGGGUCUUGCACACACCGCCCGU
rnacentral:rRNA from 1 species